GUCAACAAAUUUAAAAGUUCAAGGACUUAAAAUGUAGAACACAAAAUAUAGGGGCUUAAUAUUAACAUUGAAGUAAAGUUCAAUGGUUUAAAUAUGCGUUUUGCCAAAAUGGAAAUGAUAUUUGGGGUAUUAUACAAGGAUAUUAAAAGCGUCAAAAACUGUACACACAGCUUUUGACAGAGCAUGUGCUGAAUUUACAUAACAUGUGUAAUUCAGCAACACAUAUUGAGGCAAGCAUCGAAAGAUACUGAGAAACUAAAUUGUGCAUAGCAAUUUAACGAUUUAAUCUCUGCAAUGUUCUCUUCAUAAAUCAGAAAAAAGAAUCAAGAUUCUGAACUAAUAGCAGAAUGAAGAAAGCCUGAGCUCCAGAGAGCCAUCUCUACUUUAUUAUAAGAGGAAGUGAUUGCCUUUUGUAAGCUGUAUUAGAAAAGCAAAACCCAGGAAAACAUAAAGUAGAGAUUCAACAUCAACCGCACAGCAUCUUGAAUCACUGAGAGAGAUCUAAUAAGUAGAGUGAGAGAUUGUAUGGCCCAAAAAACAACACACAUUCAUUAAGAGUUAGGCAACAUGGUCACUGGAAACACUUUCUGGUGUGAUUAUAAAAUCCGAGAACAAACAGUAAUGGUAAUAAGGUGGGCCCUACAUGACCAGACUAGAUAAAACAAAACGAAGGGAAUGAAAGAACCUAAAAAGUUCUAGGAUCCGCAGAUUGAGGAAUAGAUCAAGCUACAAUGGCAGAAACCUAUGGCCAUGAAUAUAAACCAGCAGUGAAUCUCCCACAUGAUCUUGAUCAGCAGCGUUAUGUGAGAAACAGGAGGAUCCAGUUGUAGAAGCCUAGAAAAUGAAGCACUCCAGACGGAACCUAAAGAAGCUAAGGAUGACUUUUGAUGAAGAAAAUUCCAAGGUUUUAACUAUUCACCUUCAAAUACCAAGAAGUAUUCUCAAAACUUAAGUUGCCAUUAUAAAUGCUUGGAUCAAGUUUUCUGCUGCACGCUUCUGCUCUGGUGUGCCAGAUAUAUGAGCAAUACGAUCACCCCUGGCAGACUUGGCAUCAGAGAUCUCUAUCAUUGCUCCUGAUAUCUUUCGAAUGUUGGCUAUAUUUGCCCCUCCUUUACCCAUAACUUUUCCAACAGCAUUAGCAGGCACCAACAUAUCUAAGGUUGAGGGUGGAGGCAACCCUCCAUAGAGCUUAGAUGAUGAAUAUGACGACAUAGAACCAUAGCCAUUUUCUCCCAUCGACAGAGAUCCGUAUCCAUAGAGGCUGUUUGAUGAAAGUAGGCCCAAGCCACUUCCACUUUCAGCCCUCUGAUCAUACGCCAAUGGAGCAACUGGUGGAACAGAAGGUAAGAGAGAUGGUACUGGAAUACCAGAGCCACCCGAAUAUAAAGAAUCAGCGCCAACUGAAGGAUUAUGACUACCAUCUUUUUCUUUCAAUACAUCAUCUCUAAGCCUCAAAACAAUCUGGACAAGUGCAUCUCUCACACUACCAACUUCUCCCAAAACCUCAACAAGUUCAUCAUUGGAAUCAGCACACUUAGGUUUCUCGCCUUUUGAUAUGCGCACAUCAGCUUUGGUUCUCUUCCGAAUUUCAUUUACAAUUGAACCACUUUUCCCAAUAAUACACCCAAUAACUUUAGAUGGAACAAGGAGACGAAUGCUAACAGUAUCAUCAUCUUCAUCAUUAAUCUUCCCUUGGAGCAAUAAAACAGCUUCAACUGCCAUGGACUUCAAAUCAUCAGGCGACUGCCAAGAAUGUGGUACACACAUUAGAUGAUCAACAGUCAACGUAUUCUAUGAGCAGAGUUCAAUAAUAAGUAAACACCAUUUGGUAUCAAAUUUCUUUCAAUGAGAAUCCACAUUCUCACAAAAAUAUUUGAAAUAGCAUAUAAUGACAAAGUAAAAUGCAUUCAGCUAACCCAUUUAAUUAAGUUUUUAAGACUAAAGCAAAUUAUAUAUGAUGCAUUUUCUAAUGACAUAAAUUAUACACAAGCAAGAAAAAGAAACUUUGAUUAAAAAGUGACCAUUCUCCACAUAGUUUGAGCAUUUGUAAUAAUUUAAAAGAAAACAGCUAUUGAAGAGGAAAUAAAGAAAAAAAAAUAAAGAAAAAGAAGCAGCACACCUCUGUUGCAGUCACUGUAAUAAUACACUCAUCACGGUCAGCCUUGGUAUCAUCAACCUCGACACGAGCCCCGCUAGCCUGCCUUAUGCUUUUAAUAGUACCCCCUCCCUUGCCAAUUACACGACCAAUCUUGUCAAAAGGGCACAAAACUCGUAUGAUUAACUCCUCAGAGCGAGAGGCACUGCCAAAACUAGGAACUACAGGGAGGGUGGAUGAAUAUACAGGCCAUGAGCUCCCUGUAUCCCCGUAACCCUGAAGUUCAGGCACAUGUGUGGAGCCUAGGAUUGGUGGAACAGAUCUAGAAGGGACAAUUGGAUCUGUAUUUGGAUAUAAUCCACCUGGUGGAUAAAUAGAGACAUCUGAUGGUAUGAUAAUGCUCGGAGGAGCUUCAGGUACAGUUGUCUCAAGAGGAAUUUCUUCUUUAGGAUUGAAUUUAUACAUAAUUGCAGAAACAGCAAAUAAUGCUUUCUUCACAGCUUCUGAUUCACCACUUAUCAGAAUAAAGUUGUCAAAGUCCAUAGCACAUGACUGAGUUGGGUCUGAGGCAUCCUUAGCAGUAACUUUGAUAUUUGUCCUUGUCUUACUUCUCAAUUUCUUUAUGGUCAUCCCAGCCUUACCAAUGAUAUUUGCAGACUGGCUAGAUGGGACAAGAAUUUGGCAUUCCUCCUUAUCCUUCCGUUUCUUGUCAGAAUCAACAACAGAGGCAACUGCAUUUGAAAUUGCCGCAUGAACUCUAAGAAGAGCAUCCUGAGCAGGACAAAACGGGUCAUGGUCAUUGAACUCAUCAUCAACCUCAACAUCCUCCUUCUUCUUGACAUAGCAAUAGAUUGUUAUGACCCUAUCCUUGGCACCGGGAAAUGGAUCCACCACCUUAACCUUUGCCCUUGUCUCUUGCCUAAUUGAGUUUAUGACCUUUCCAUUUUUGCCGAUAACACUUCCUAUAACCUCAUCUGGGCACAGGAUUCUAUAAACAACCAGUUCAUCAUUAACCCUUUCAUCCUUGUCAUUUACCCUUCUUUUCUGAUUCCUACCAUCCCCAUCGUGAUCUCUUUGGGAACGAGAUCGCUUCCCACUCUCACCCAUUUUUCCAAAUAUCAAUUGCCGGACAAAGACGAUGAAAGAAAAACCCUAAGCGAGAGAGAGAGAGAGAGAGA
rnacentral:misc_RNA from 1 species